UUGGAGGGCAAGUCUGGUGCCAGCAGCCGCGGUAAUUCCAGCUCCAAUAGCGUAUAUUAAAGUUGUUGUGGUUAAAAAGCUCGUAGUUGAACCUUGGGCCUGGCUGGCCGGUCCGCCUCACCGCGUGUACUGGUCCGGCCGGGCCUUUCCCUCUGUGGAACCCCAUGCCCUUCACUGGGUGUGGCGGGGAAACNGGACUUUUACNGUGAAAAAACUUGAGUGCUCCAGGCAGGCCUAUGCUCGAAUACAUUAGCAUGGAAUAAUAGAAUAGGA
rnacentral:rRNA from 1 species